rnacentral:rRNA from 1 species
UACGAAGGGGGCUAGCGUUGCUCGGAAUGACUGGGCGUAAAGGGCGCGUAGGCGGUUUUGUACAGUCAGAUGUGAAAUUCCUGGGCUCAACCGUGGGGGCUGCAUUUGAUACGUGCGACUAUGAGUGGGGAAGAGGGUCGUGGAAUUCCCAGUGUAGAGGUGAAAUUCGUAGAUAUUGGGAAGAACACCGGUGGCGAAGGCGGCGACCUGGUCCUUGACUGACGCUGAGGCGCGAAAGCGUGGGGAGCAAACAGG